GGGGCUAUGGCUUAAUAGCAGAGCAUUUGCUUGGCUCCCAGAAGGUCCCAGGUUCAAUUCCUGACAAUCCCA
rnacentral:tRNA from 1 species